AAGGCAUGACUUAUUGCUAGAAAGAAAUGUCGUAACUAGGCCACAUUCACCUAAACAAGGUUUUAACUUCCAUUUACUUCAUAAAGUAGGGUGGGGUCAGUCAAACUCCAGGUUGACUUUGAUGCAAUUGUGUACAUAUAUAGAUUCUUACAACUUAGAGUUGCAUAAAGACGGUGGGGUUGCUCAAGUGCGCUUGGGGAGUUAUUCCCUUCUGAAUGUUUUUUUUAUCUCUUCCAAAAUUACUUAUUUAGCUUAUUAGGAUUUAUAUUUGUUUUUAUGCCUUUUAAUUGAUUUCUUAGCCAAAAAGGGGUUCCUCAAGCAAACAACAACAAAAGGCACUGAGAAAAUUACAGCACCUUACUUAAGCCAUUACUAAGUUACUGUAAAAAAUUUGGGAGCCAUAGGAUUACCACAAAAAGAAUUAAAUGCAUAUUAUCACCAAGGGUAGCAUGUACUUAACUAUUUUUAUCUCCAAACCUACAGUGAAACUGAGUGUGAAAUUUUACCAGUAGGUUGAAGGUGUGUUACAGAGGCUUUGGUGAAGUUUUCAUGAUUUUUGGAGAAGGACAACAAUUUCCCUUAUUUAUCUCCUAUUUAAUCAUGUUUUAUAAGGAAAGUGGGUUUCUUUCUUAUUCUGAC
rnacentral:lncRNA from 1 species